GAUGAACGCUGGCGGCGUGCCUAAUACAUGCAAGUCGAGCGAACGGACGAGAAGCUUGCUUCUCUGAUGUUAGCGGCGGACGGGUGAGUAACACGUGGAUAACCUACCUAUAAGACUGGGAUAACUUCGGGAAACCGGAGCUAAUACCGGAUGAUAUUUUGAACCGCAUGGUUCAAAAGUGAAAGACGGUCUUGCUGUCACUUAUAGCUGGAUCCGCGCUGCAUUAGCUAGUUGGUAAGGUAACGGCUUACCAAGGCAACGAUGCAUAGCCGACCUGAGAGGGUGAUCGGCCACACUGGAACUGGGACACGGUCCAGACUCCUACGGGAGGCAGCAGUAGGGAAUCUUCCGCAAUGGGCGAAAGCCUGACGGAGCAACGCCGCGUGAGUGAUGAAGGUCUUCGGAUCGUAAAACUCUGUUAUUAGGGAAGAACAUAUGUGUAAGUAACUGUGCACAUCUUGACGGUACCUAAUCAGAAAGCCACGGCUAACUACGUG
rnacentral:rRNA from 1 species